GAUAAUAAAAACAUUUCUUUACUGUAAGCCAAGUGCUGUGCUAAUGGCCAACAGGUACUAGCCUUUGUUAUGUGAAAGCCCUCAUAAUGAAGUGACAAGAUUAGUACAACCGAAAGAAACAAGGCUUAAAGAGCAUUUCCUUCCUUGUAAGAUGAAAAGGUGAUGGAAGUGCUAGCGAAGUGGCUGGGUGAGCAUCAGGCAUGCAAGGUGCUGAGGCCUCCUGAAGGAGGUGCUUCUCAGCCAUAAGCAGGAAGGGCAGAAGGAUUGAGCUUGUGUAGUCAAGGUGUUUAGAAGGCUGUAAAGCUAUCAGGAGACAUAGACUUCUAAGCAACAGAGUAAUUUAGCUGCUGCCUUUUCCCACACUAGUGUAGAAACAAGUUGCCUGAAUGAAAAUAGCUGUAGUCUGGAAUACAGUCCCAAGGCCCAGCACAAUGGGAAAAUGAUUGAACUUGACAAUAGACACAGUGGAUAACCAGAGGAGAGUAGUCAGAAAUGAUUGCAAGGUUGUUGGGAGUGAAUCAGGGAUCAAGGUUUCUGGAAGAGAGAAAUCAUGAGGUAGGUUUUCUUCUUUGAAGGUGGGGAAAGAUCAAGUGCAGACUGAGCUGUGGCCAACCGUGUGCAGACCAGGAAUCCACACCAGCUCUAAUCAGAGAGCUCUUGGUGUGCGGGAACUGCCAGUUUGCCGACGUGAAAGAGCCCCAGGCUGGGUAAUGGUGAGCCCUGAAGUCGCACCCCAGCUCUGCCACUGAGUGAGCACGGCAACAUCCCUAAUCCUGACCAGCCAUGGAGAGGUUCGGUUCUUACAAGGAAA
rnacentral:lncRNA from 1 species